rnacentral:rRNA from 1 species
AAACGUCUCAGUUCGGAUUGUAGUCUGCAACUCGACUACAUGAAGCUGGAAUCGCUAGUAAUCGCGAAUCAGAAUGUCGCGGUGAAUACGUUCCCGGGUCUUGUACACACCGCCCGUCACACCAUGGGAGUUGGUAACGCCCGAAGUCAGUGACCCAACCAGUAGGAGGGAGCUGCCGAAGGCGGGGCCGAUAACUGGGGUGAAGUCGUAACAAGGUAGC